CAGUGCAAGCCCAGGAUCAGAACCAUGGCAACUGUCAAGUGAGUCCUUAAGUAUUUGAGAAAUACUAAAGGAUAGAUUCCUCAAAGAAUGAGGAAGAAUUAGAGUAACGUAAUGGAAGCGUAAAUGUAUUAGAUUAUGAAUCUAAUCCAUCAUUAGAUGUUUCUUCAUUAUGAAUGAAGAGAUAAACGAAUAUCUCUUUAUUAUGACUAAAGAGAUAUUUGGAUGGAAACAUUAAAGUAAUGACUUUAGUGUGUUCCAUUAUGAAUGCAAGAUAUAUUGCCAUAUAGAAGUUUACAACAAUGUUGUUUGGAUGGGAAAGUUCAUUUAUGAACUCUCUAUUCGAUUCCAACCAGAAAGUGUAUGACACUAAUGGGGCGAUAGCUCAAGCCUGGGAAUCAAGGUCUCAUCAAGAUCCGAACUCAAAUGAGAAACUGAACCACAUGAUUGAGAAUCAUGUAUAAUGGUGGCGUCGUUAUUCUCAAGGUUACUUCUAUGGAUAACACAUAUAGAUAUCCACUGUCUAGGCCUACUAUUCAGCCAUUUAUGAAAUGACUACAGAAGAGGUAUCAUCAAGAUGACCAAGCUGAUUGGCUCUAGUGCAAGUGGGAGAUUGUUGGAAAUGUGCUCUAAAGCCAAUCAUGUGAUGAUACUUUACGGACAUUUCACAUGUUAAACUAAUCUAGUUUUACAUAUAAAGGGCAAAAAUUAUUGUUUGAGCCGUCUCAUAUAAAUGUUAUAUGCUUAAACGAUAAAGUCCAAGGAAUAUGUGAUUGGGAGAAUGUAAUCUAAUGAAGUUAGAUUCAUGAGACCAUUCUUUCGUAGACACAUCCUAAAUGUUCCUGAUCAUAGGAUUGCCAAUUGGGCAUUGACAGUCCGUUAAGAUCAGUACGUACUAUGUCUUCUCUCAGGGAGAGUGAUUAGUCUCGAGUCAUUGGUGUGUGUGACAUCAAGACAAGUACGGUAGGUGCUCAAUAGAGAAUGAGUUCACUGAACGCGAUCAACGAAGAGUUCUCAUAUUCCAUGUCACGUGAGAACUCAUGGUUGGGAUAAUGCAAAGUAGUUCUUUGAUCUGAUGCAUCAUAGUUGUCUUGUGGUUAAGUCCUUGAUCUUUGAUUAUGUCAAAGUCACUCCAUCAGGAGGGUGUCCACGGCAUCGUUGGGAUCAAGCCACUUAUCUAUGGAGACAAGUGAAUGCGCAACAAGGGAUCUCUAACCUUCAAACCGUUUGAGGGAGAAUACUCUCUGAUAUGAUUUGAAUCUCAGGCCAGAGUAUGAAUGAGAUUAGGGAAUGCGUUCCGAAUCACAUUCAAGGUAAUCAUAU
rnacentral:lncRNA from 1 species